UGUGUGUGUGUGUGUGUGUGUGCGCGCGCGCAUGCACACACACACACACACAUG
rnacentral:miRNA from 1 species